rnacentral:rRNA from 1 species
GACGAACGCUGGCGGCGUGCUUAACACAUGCAAGUCGAACGAAGAGCGACGGAAGCUUGCUUCUAUCAAUCUUAGUGGCGAACGGGUGAGUAACGCGUAAUCAACCUGCCCUUCAGAGGGGGACAACAGUUGGAAACGACUGCUAAUACCGCAUACGAUCUAAUCUCGGCAUCGAGGAUGGAUGAAAGGUGGCCCCUACAUGUAAGCUAUCACUGAAGGAGGGGAUUGCGUCUGAUUAGCUAGUUGGAGGGGUAACGGCCCACCAAGGCGAUGAUCAGUAGCCGGUCUGAGAGGAUGAACGGCCACAUUGGGACUGAGACACGGCCCAGACUCCUACGGGAGGCAGCAGUGGGGAAUCUUCCGCAAUGGACGAAAGUCUGACGGAGCAACGCCGCGUGAGUGAUGACGGCCGUCGGGUUGUAAAGCUCUGUUAAUCGGGACGAAAGGCCUUCUUGCGAAUAGUGAGAAGGAUUGACGGUACCGGAAUAGAAAGCCACGGCUAACUACGUG